UGGGGGAUAUUGCACAAUGGGCGAAAGCCUGAUGCAGCGACGCCGCGUGGGGGAUGAAGGCUUUCGGGUUGUAAACCUCUUUCGCUAUCGAACAAGGCCCGCUUAGGGUGGGUUGAGGGUAGGCGGAGAAGAAGCGCCGGCUAACUACGUGCCAGCAGCCGCGGUAAUACGUAGGGCGCGAGCGUUGUCCGGAAUUAUUGGGCGUAAAGGGCUUGUAGGCGGCUUGUUGCGCCUGCUGUGAAAACGCGGGGCUUAACUUCGCGCGUGCAGUGGGUACGGGCAGGCUUGAGUGUGGUAGGGGUGACUGGAAUUCCAGGUGUAGCGGUGGAAUGCGCAGAUAUCUGGAGGAACACCGAUGGCGAAGGCAGGUCACUGGGCCAUUACUGACGCUGAGGAGCGAAAGCAUGGGUAGCGAACAGG
rnacentral:rRNA from 2 species